rnacentral:lncRNA from 1 species
AGUACCCUCAGGCUCUUGAUCCUCUUGCUCUGGACUUCUGAUUGCUAGGAUUGCAUUAUCUUACCUUAUAAGCAUGCACUACACUUGGCAUAAUCUAUUACCUUCUAUCAUUUCAUGUUAUUGACUAUUAAAAGAGAUGGCUCUGAAAAUAUAAGAUAUUUAGAGAAAUAUGCAAUUUGCUGUUAAGGUAGCUUGCUUUUAGAUCAAUUGGAGCAAUUAAACUUAGGACUGAAAAAGAUACCAGGAGGCAUAUAUUAAGUACACUCGAAUCCAUAGUGAACAGCCAGAGUGACUCACUGAUGCUGAUCACCUACAACUCAGUUUACAAUGAACAAGGAGCAGGGCUUGUCUUGUAGCUCGAGCUACGGGUCUCAGUAAAAAGUUAAGAUUCGGAGAGACAAUGGCAAGAUAGAGCUGUCGUCACCAUUCGAUAUCAAAACAGGAGGUUCGUACUAAUUCCAUAAUGUACAAAUGUCUCAUGAAAUAUUUACUUUGUUUAGGUUACUUGUUAAUUUUUUGUGUUUUGUAUAAGUUUUGCUAAAUGGUUCAUCUGGGAAGAUAACAAGAGACUUUCACUAAAAAUGGCAAGAGUUGGUUAUUUGGCUCUUAGGCUGGAAUCGACAUUUCUCGGGAUUCACCUACUCUCUGGCUGUUUCCUGGGAACAAGAAACUACCAGUCCACCCAUGCCCACCCCAACACACAACUUGCAUGUAGCCCCCUGACAUCUGUCCUAGUGAAGCCUUUUCACGUCUGCCAUGUUCCAAUAUACACUCUUCUGCUUUCCUCAGAGAAAGGAGCCGCUUAGGUGCCCGAGCUCAGGGCUAAGGAGUUUCAAGAGCGAAUGCCAGGCAAUCUGUCAAUGCUGCUACACAGACACCUUUCAGACAGACACCGCCUUCAGAUGUAACUCCUAAAGGAAUCCUGAGGCAGACCGAACUGUAGUACGAUAUCACCGAUCCCUUGUGUUCAGCGUGCAAAAUUAUGUUUGCUGAGAUGUGGCUUUUUUUUUUUUUCAUCAUGAAAGCCCUAGACCAUUGCACACACAGAAGGCCUUUUGCCUUGGCAACGUUGCCGUUGGCCGGUGUUGGGAGCCUGGGUGCCUGUUGAUCAUUGAUUUCUUAAUACCCACAGAGCUCUGGAUUCAACAUUUUCUCUAUAAAGCAAGACUUUGUAAGCCUUAAUCAGCUUACAAGUUGUCUGUGAGGAACAAACGGAAAGUACUUUUGUAGGGAGGGGGAUAAUAUAAUGAGGCAACAUUUUGGGGAUAUGGCAAGGAUUAAUACAGCCUCAAGGCCUUCCUGGGAAGUUGUUUUCAACAUUUCCAUGGAAACGCACAUGAAAGCAGUGGUUUUCACACUUAUUUUUAACCUGUGAAUAUUCCAAGUCCUAACUCCGCAAUAUCUCUUCCUAGUACCAAAGAAAAACCUUUUACAAUUGUGCAUUUUUAAAGGAUUUGAUUUACACUUUAAAUUACGUGUAUGUGUUGUGUGGGGGUAGGUAUGGGCAGACACGGACAGGUGCCCGAGGAUGCCAGAGUGUCAGAUCGCCCAAGCUUGAGUUACAGGCUGUUAUGAGUCCUGUGACAUAAUAGAUCCUGGUUCUCCACAAAAAUCAACACAUGCUCUUAACUUCUGAGCUGUCUGUCCAGCUCCCUAUAGUCAUCCAUCUUGAAAAUGCCAUGAAUGGCUUGGUAGGUGGUGGGCAGUGUUUACAAAGGGUCAAGGCUUCCCAAGCCAUCCAGACUUUGAGCUUACUUCCUUUGACCUCUUGAUAUUUCCUUAGAAUUCCCCAAGUCUCACUUUGGAG